GGAGAGUGGGCCGGACGGUAAGGCACAGGUUUGCUAAACCUGCACCGUGAAUAACGGUGAGUGGGUUCGACUCCCACACUCUCCG
rnacentral:tRNA from 1 species